AAGACCUUGCACUUUUGGAGCGGCCGAUGUCUGAUUAGCUAGUUGGUGGGGUAAAGGCCUACCAAAGCUUCGAUCAGUAGCUGGUCUGAGAGGACGGCCAGCCACACUGGGACUGAGACACGGCCCAGACUCCUACGGGAGGCAGCAGUGGGGAAUUUUGGACAAUGGGCGCAAGCCUGAUCCAGCCAUGCCGCGUGAGUGAAGAAGGCCUUCGGGUUGUAAAGCUCUUUCAGCCGGGAAGAAAAGGCUGCGACUAAUAAUCGCAGUUCAUGACGGUACCGGAAGAAGAAGCACCGGCUAACUACGUGCCAGCAGCCGCGGUAAUACGUAGGGUGCGAGCGUUAAUCGGAAUUACUGGGCGUAAAGGGUGCGCAGGCGGUUUUGUAAGUCAGAUGUGGAAUCCCCGGGCUUAACCUGGGAACU
rnacentral:rRNA from 1 species